AACGAACGCUGGCGGCAGGCUUAACACAUGCAAGUCGAGCGCCCCGCAAGGGGAGCGGCAGACGGGUGAGUAACGCGUGGGAAUCUACCCAUCUCUACGGAAUAACGCAUGGAAACGUGUGCUAAUACCGUAUACGUCCUUCGGGAGAAAGAUUUAUCGGAGAUGGAUGAGCCCGCGUUGGAUUAGCUAGUUGGUGGGGUAAAGGCCUACCAAGGCGACGAUCCAGAGCUGGGCUGAGAGGAUGAUCAGCCACACUGGGACUGAGACACGGCCCAGACUCCUACGGGAGGCAGCAGUGGGGAAUAUUGGACCAUGGGCGCAAGCCUGAUCCAGCCAUGCCGCGUGAGUGAUGAAGGCCCUAGGGUUGUAAAGCUCUUUCACCGGUGAAGAUAAUGACGGUAACCGGAGAAGAAGCCCCGGCUAACUUCGUGCCAGCCGCCGCCGUAACAC
rnacentral:rRNA from 1 species